UACGUAGGGGGCAAGCGUUAUCCGGAUUUACUGGGUGUAAAGGGAGCGUAGACGGCAGCGCAAGUCUGGAGUGAAAUGCCGGGGCCCAACCCCGGAACUGCUCUGGAAACUGUGAAGCUGGAGUGCAGGAGAGGUAAGCGGAAUUCCUAGUGUAGCGGUGAAAUGCGUAGAUAUCACGCAGAACUCCGAUUGCGAAGGCAGCUUACUAAGCCAUAACUGACACUGAAGCACGAAAGCGUGGGGAUCAAACAGG
rnacentral:rRNA from 1 species